rnacentral:lncRNA from 1 species
CGUCUUUUUCCAUUUACGACGAAAUUACGUCGAAUCGAUUUACCAGGCUUUCCGUUUACGACGAAGUUACCAGGCCCGUCUUUUUCCAUUUACGACGAAAUUACGUCGAAUCGAUUUACCAGGCUUUUCCGUUUACGACGAAGUUACUAGACCCGUCUUUUUCCAUUUACGACGAAAUUACGUGGAAUCGAUUUAACCAUUUACGACGAAGUUACCAAGCCCGUGUUAUUUUUACAACGAUUUUACAACGCUUAGCCCUAAACACCGAGAAUGAAAUCCCUAAACCCCAAAGUCACAUAUCA